GGGGAAGUUUCGCUUUAAUUUCCUAGAUUCAUCGGCCUGGCCAUGAACAUUUUACUGCACUACCGGGCAGUGGAUGCUUUCAGUUAUUUGUUUCAUGGGGAAGUUUCGCUUUAAUUUCCUAGAUUCAUCGGCCUGGCCAUGAACAUUUUACUGCACUACCGGGCAGUGGAUGCUUUCAGUUAUUUGUUUCAUGGGGAAGUUUCGCUUUAAUUUCCUAGAUUCAUCGGCCUGGCCAUGAACAUUUUACUGCACUACCGGGCAGUGGAUGCUUUCAGUUAUUUGUUUCAUGGGGAAGUUUCGCUUUAAUUUCCUAGAUUCAUCGGCCUGGCCAUGAACAUUUUACUGCACUACCGGGCAGUGGAUGCUUUCAGUUAUUUGUUUCAUGGGGAAGUUUCGCUUUAAUUUCCUAGAUUCAUCGGCCUGGCCAUGAACAUUUUACUGCACUACCGGGCAGUGGAUGCUUUCAGUUAUUUGUUUCAUGGGGAAGUUUCGCUUUAAUUUCCUAGAUUCAUCGGCCUGGCCAUGAACAUUUUACUGCACUACCGGGCAGUGGAUGCUUUCAGUUAUUUGUUUCAUGGGGAAGUUUCGCUUUAAUUUCCUAGAUUCAUCGGCCUGGCCAUGAACAUUUUACUGCACUACCGGGCAGUGGAUGCUUUCAGUUAUUUGUUUCAUGGGGAAGUUUCGCUUUAAUUUCCUAGAUUCAUCGGCCUGGCCAUGAACAUUUUACUGCACUACCGGGCAGUGGAUGCUUUCAGUUAUUUGUUUCAUGGGGAAGUUUCGCUUUAAUUUCCUAGAUUCAUCGGCCUGGCCAUGAACAUUUUACUGCACUACCGGGCAGUGGAUGCUUUCAGUUAUUUGUUUCAUGGGGAAGUUUCGCUUUAAUUUCCUAGAUUCAUCGGCCUGGCCAUGAACAUUUUACUGCACUACCGGGCAGUGGAUGCUUUCAGUUAUUUGUUUCAUGGGGAAGUUUCGCUUUAAUUUCCUAGAUUCAUCGGCCUGGCCAUGAACAUUUUACUGCACUACCGGGCAGUGGAUGCUUUCAGUUAUUUGUUUCAUGGGGAAGUUUCGCUUUAAUUUCCUAGAUUCAUCGGCCUGGCCAUGAACAUUUUACUGCACUACCGGGCAGUGGAUGCUUUCAGUUAUUUGUUUCAUGGGGAAGUUUCGCUUUAAUUUCCUAGAUUCAUCGGCCUGGCCAUGAACAUUUUACUGCACUACCGGGCAGUGGAUGCUUUCAGUUAUUUGUUUCAUGGGGAAGUUUCGCUUUAAUUUCCUAGAUUCAUCGGCCUGGCCAUGAACAUUUUACUGCACUACCGGGCAGUGGAUGCUUUCAGUUAUUUGUUUCAUGGGGAAGUUUCGCUUUAAUUUCCUAGAUUCAUCGGCCUGGCCAUGAACAUUUUACUGCACUACCGGGCAGUGGAUGCUUUCAGUUAUUUGUUUCAUGGGGAAGUUUCGCUUUAAUUUCCUAGAUUCAUCGGCCUGGCCAUGAACAUUUUACUGCACUACCGGGCAGUGGAUGCUUUCAGUUAUUUGUUUCAUGGGGAAGUUUCGCUUUAAUUUCCUAGAUUCAUCGGCCUGGCCAUGAACAUUUUACUGCACUACCGGGCAGUGGAUGCUUUCAGUUAUUUGUUUCAUGGGGAAGUUUCGCUUUAAUUUCCUAGAUUCAUCGGCCUGGCCAUGAACAUUUUACUGCACUACCGGGCAGUGGAUGCUUUCAGUUAUUUGUUUCAUGGGGAAGUUUCGCUUUAAUUUCCUAGAUUCAUCGGCCUGGCCAUGAACAUUUUACUGCACUACCGGGCAGUGGAUGCUUUCAGUUAUUUGUUUCAUGGGGAAGUUUCGCUUUAAUUUCCUAGAUUCAUCGGCCUGGCCAUGAACAUUUUACUGCACUACCGGGCAGUGGAUGCUUUCAGUUAUUUGUUUCAUGGGGAAGUUUCGCUUUAAUUUCCUAGAUUCAUCGGCCUGGCCAUGAACAUUUUACUGCACUACCGGGCAGUGGAUGCUUUCAGUUAUUUGUUUCAUGGGGAAGUUUCGCUUUAAUUUCCUAGAUUCAUCGGCCUGGCCAUGAACAUUUUACUGCACUACCGGGCAGUGGAUGCUUUCAGUUAUUUGUUUCAUGGGGAAGUUUCGCUUUAAUUUCCUAGAUUCAUCGGCCUGGCCAUGAACAUUUUACUGCACUACCGGGCAGUGGAUGCUUUCAGUUAUUUGUUUCAUGGGGAAGUUUCGCUUUAAUUUCCUAGAUUCAUCGGCCUGGCCAUGAACAUUUUACUGCACUACCGGGCAGUGGAUGCUUUCAGUUAUUUGUUUCAUGGGGAAGUUUCGCUUUAAUUUCCUAGAUUCAUCGGCCUGGCCAUGAACAUUUUACUGCACUACCGGGCAGUGGAUGCUUUCAGUUAUUUGUUUCAUGGGGAAGUUUCGCUUUAAUUUCCUAGAUUCAUCGGCCUGGCCAUGAACAUUUUACUGCACUACCGGGCAGUGGAUGCUUUCAGUUAUUUGUUUCAUGGGGAAGUUUCGCUUUAAUUUCCUAGAUUCAUCGGCCUGGCCAUGAACAUUUUACUGCACUACCGGGCAGUGGAUGCUUUCAGUUAUUUGUUUCAUGGGGAAGUUUCGCUUUAAUUUCCUAGAUUCAUCGGCCUGGCCAUGAACAUUUUACUGCACUACCGGGCAGUGGAUGCUUUCAGUUAUUUGUUUCAUGGGGAAGUUUCGCUUUAAUUUCCUAGAUUCAUCGGCCUGGCCAUGAACAUUUUACUGCACUACCGGGCAGUGGAUGCUUUCAGUUAUUUGUUUCAUGGGGAAGUUUCGCUUUAAUUUCCUAGAUUCAUCGGCCUGGCCAUGAACAUUUUACUGCACUACCGGGCAGUGGAUGCUUUCAGUUAUUUGUUUCAUGGGGAAGUUUCGCUUUAAUUUCCUAGAUUCAUCGGCCUGGCCAUGAACAUUUUACUGCACUACCGGGCAGUGGAUGCUUUCAGUUAUUUGUUUCAUGGGGAAGUUUCGCUUUAAUUUCCUAGAUUCAUCGGCCUGGCCAUGAACAUUUUACUGCACUACCGGGCAGUGGAUGCUUUCAGUUAUUUGUUUCAUGGGGAAGUUUCGCUUUAAUUUCCUAGAUUCAUCGGCCUGGCCAUGAACAUUUUACUGCACUACCGGGCAGUGGAUGCUUUCAGUUAUUUGUUUCAUGGGGAAGUUUCGCUUUAAUUUCCUAGAUUCAUCGGCCUGGCCAUGAACAUUUUACUGCACUACCGGGCAGUGGAUGCUUUCAGUUAUUUGUUUCAUGGGGAAGUUUCGCUUUAAUUUCCUAGAUUCAUCGGCCUGGCCAUGAACAUUUUACUGCACUACCGGGCAGUGGAUGCUUUCAGUUAUUUGUUUCAUGGGGAAGUUUCGCUUUAAUUUCCUAGAUUCAUCGGCCUGGCCAUGAACAUUUUACUGCACUACCGGGCAGUGGAUGCUUUCAGUUAUUUGUUUCAUGGGGAAGUUUCGCUUUAAUUUCCUAGAUUCAUCGGCCUGGCCAUGAACAUUUUACUGCACUACCGGGCAGUGGAUGCUUUCAGUUAUUUGUUUCAUGGGGAAGUUUCGCUUUAAUUUCCUAGAUUCAUCGGCCUGGCCAUGAACAUUUUACUGCACUACCGGGCAGUGGAUGCUUUCAGUUAUUUGUUUCAUGGGGAAGUUUCGCUUUAAUUUCCUAGAUUCAUCGGCCUGGCCAUGAACAUUUUACUGCACUACCGGGCAGUGGAUGCUUUCAGUUAUUUGUUUCAUGGGGAAGUUUCGCUUUAAUUUCCUAGAUUCAUCGGCCUGGCCAUGAACAUUUUACUGCACUACCGGGCAGUGGAUGCUUUCAGUUAUUUGUUUCAUGGGGAAGUUUCGCUUUAAUUUCCUAGAUUCAUCGGCCUGGCCAUGAACAUUUUACUGCACUACCGGGCAGUGGAUGCUUUCAGUUAUUUGUUUCAUGGGGAAGUUUCGCUUUAAUUUCCUAGAUUCAUCGGCCUGGCCAUGAACAUUUUACUGCACUACCGGGCAGUGGAUGCUUUCAGUUAUUUGUUUCAUGGGGAAGUUUCGCUUUAAUUUCCUAGAUUCAUCGGCCUGGCCAUGAACAUUUUACUGCACUACCGGGCAGUGGAUGCUUUCAGUUAUUUGUUUCAUGGGGAAGUUUCGCUUUAAUUUCCUAGAUUCAUCGGCCUGGCCAUGAACAUUUUACUGCACUACCGGGCAGUGGAUGCUUUCAGUUAUUUGUUUCAUGGGGAAGUUUCGCUUUAAUUUCCUAGAUUCAUCGGCCUGGCCAUGAACAUUUUACUGCACUACCGGGCAGUGGAUGCUUUCAGUUAUUUGUUUCAUGGGGAAGUUUCGCUUUAAUUUCCUAGAUUCAUCGGCCUGGCCAUGAACAUUUUACUGCACUACCGGGCAGUGGAUGCUUUCAGUUAUUUGUUUCAUGGGGAAGUUUCGCUUUAAUUUCCUAGAUUCAUCGGCCUGGCCAUGAACAUUUUACUGCACUACCGGGCAGUGGAUGCUUUCAGUUAUUUGUUUCAUGGGGAAGUUUCGCUUUAAUUUCCUAGAUUCAUCGGCCUGGCCAUGAACAUUUUACUGCACUACCGGGCAGUGGAUGCUUUCAGUUAUUUGUUUCAUGGGGAAGUUUCGCUUUAAUUUCCUAGAUUCAUCGGCCUGGCCAUGAACAUUUUACUGCACUACCGGGCAGUGGAUGCUUUCAGUUAUUUGUUUCAUGGGGAAGUUUCGCUUUAAUUUCCUAGAUUCAUCGGCCUGGCCAUGAACAUUUUACUGCACUACCGGGCAGUGGAUGCUUUCAGUUAUUUGUUUCAUGGGGAAGUUUCGCUUUAAUUUCCUAGAUUCAUCGGCCUGGCCAUGAACAUUUUACUGCACUACCGGGCAGUGGAUGCUUUCAGUUAUUUGUUUCAUGGGGAAGUUUCGCUUUAAUUUCCUAGAUUCAUCGGCCUGGCCAUGAACAUUUUACUGCACUACCGGGCAGUGGAUGCUUUCAGUUAUUUGUUUCAUGGGGAAGUUUCGCUUUAAUUUCCUAGAUUCAUCGGCCUGGCCAUGAACAUUUUACUGCACUACCGGGCAGUGGAUGCUUUCAGUUAUUUGUUUCAUGGGGAAGUUUCGCUUUAAUUUCCUAGAUUCAUCGGCCUGGCCAUGAACAUUUUACUGCACUACCGGGCAGUGGAUGCUUUCAGUUAUUUGUUUCAUGGGGAAGUUUCGCUUUAAUUUCCUAGAUUCAUCGGCCUGGCCAUGAACAUUUUACUGCACUACCGGGCAGUGGAUGCUUUCAGUUAUUUGUUUCAUGGGGAAGUUUCGCUUUAAUUUCCUAGAUUCAUCGGCCUGGCCAUGAACAUUUUACUGCACUACCGGGCAGUGGAUGCUUUCAGUUAUUUGUUUCAUGGGGAAGUUUCGCUUUAAUUUCCUAGAUUCAUCGGCCUGGCCAUGAACAUUUUACUGCACUACCGGGCAGUGGAUGCUUUCAGUUAUUUGUUUCAUGGGGAAGUUUCGCUUUAAUUUCCUAGAUUCAUCGGCCUGGCCAUGAACAUUUUACUGCACUACCGGGCAGUGGAUGCUUUCAGUUAUUUGUUUCAUGGGGAAGUUUCGCUUUAAUUUCCUAGAUUCAUCGGCCUGGCCAUGAACAUUUUACUGCACUACCGGGCAGUGGAUGCUUUCAGUUAUUUGUUUCAUGGGGAAGUUUCGCUUUAAUUUCCUAGAUUCAUCGGCCUGGCCAUGAACAUUUUACUGCACUACCGGGCAGUGGAUGCUUUCAGUUAUUUGUUUCAUGGGGAAGUUUCGCUUUAAUUUCCUAGAUUCAUCGGCCUGGCCAUGAACAUUUUACUGCACUACCGGGCAGUGGAUGCUUUCAGUUAUUUGUUUCAUGGGGAAGUUUCGCUUUAAUUUCCUAGAUUCAUCGGCCUGGCCAUGAACAUUUUACUGCACUACCGGGCAGUGGAUGCUUUCAGUUAUUUGUUUCAUGGGGAAGUUUCGCUUUAAUUUCCUAGAUUCAUCGGCCUGGCCAUGAACAUUUUACUGCACUACCGGGCAGUGGAUGCUUUCAGUUAUUUGUUUCAUGGGGAAGUUUCGCUUUAAUUUCCUAGAUUCAUCGGCCUGGCCAUGAACAUUUUACUGCACUACCGGGCAGUGGAUGCUUUCAGUUAUUUGUUUCAUGGGGAAGUUUCGCUUUAAUUUCCUAGAUUCAUCGGCCUGGCCAUGAACAUUUUACUGCACUACCGGGCAGUGGAUGCUUUCAGUUAUUUGUUUCAUGGGGAAGUUUCGCUUUAAUUUCCUAGAUUCAUCGGCCUGGCCAUGAACAUUUUACUGCACUACCGGGCAGUGGAUGCUUUCAGUUAUUUGUUUCAUGGGGAAGUUUCGCUUUAAUUUCCUAGAUUCAUCGGCCUGGCCAUGAACAUUUUACUGCACUACCGGGCAGUGGAUGCUUUCAGUUAUUUGUUUCAUGGGGAAGUUUCGCUUUAAUUUCCUAGAUUCAUCGGCCUGGCCAUGAACAUUUUACUGCACUACCGGGCAGUGGAUGCUUUCAGUUAUUUGUUUCAUGGGGAAGUUUCGCUUUAAUUUCCUAGAUUCAUCGGCCUGGCCAUGAACAUUUUACUGCACUACCGGGCAGUGGAUGCUUUCAGUUAUUUGUUUCAUGGGGAAGUUUCGCUUUAAUUUCCUAGAUUCAUCGGCCUGGCCAUGAACAUUUUACUGCACUACCGGGCAGUGGAUGCUUUCAGUUAUUUGUUUCAUGGGGAAGUUUCGCUUUAAUUUCCUAGAUUCAUCGGCCUGGCCAUGAACAUUUUACUGCACUACCGGGCAGUGGAUGCUUUCAGUUAUUUGUUUCAUGGGGAAGUUUCGCUUUAAUUUCCUAGAUUCAUCGGCCUGGCCAUGAACAUUUUACUGCACUACCGGGCAGUGGAUGCUUUCAGUUAUUUGUUUCAUGGGGAAGUUUCGCUUUAAUUUCCUAGAUUCAUCGGCCUGGCCAUGAACAUUUUACUGCACUACCGGGCAGUGGAUGCUUUCAGUUAUUUGUUUCAUGGGGAAGUUUCGCUUUAAUUUCCUAGAUUCAUCGGCCUGGCCAUGAACAUUUUACUGCACUACCGGGCAGUGGAUGCUUUCAGUUAUUUGUUUCAUGGGGAAGUUUCGCUUUAAUUUCCUAGAUUCAUCGGCCUGGCCAUGAACAUUUUACUGCACUACCGGGCAGUGGAUGCUUUCAGUUAUUUGUUUCAUGGGGAAGUUUCGCUUUAAUUUCCUAGAUUCAUCGGCCUGGCCAUGAACAUUUUACUGCACUACCGGGCAGUGGAUGCUUUCAGUUAUUUGUUUCAUGGGAAGUUUCGCUUUAAUUUCCUAGAUUCAUCGGCCUGGCCAUGAACAUUUUACUGCACUACCGGGCAGUGGAUGCUUUCAGUUAUUUGUUUCAUGGGGAAGUUUCGCUUUAAUUUCCUAGAUUCAUCGGCCUGGCCAUGAACAUUUUACUGCACUACCGGGCAGUGGAUGCUUUCAGUUAUUUGUUUCAUGGGGAAGUUUCGCUUUAAUUUCCUAGAUUCAUCGGCCUGGCCAUGAACAUUUUACUGCACUACCGGGCAGUGGAUGCUUUCAGUUAUUUGUUUCAUGGGGAAGUUUCGCUUUAAUUUCCUAGAUUCAUCGGCCUGGCCAUGAACAUUUUACUGCACUACCGGGCAGUGGAUGCUUUCAGUUAUUUGUUUCAUGGGGAAGUUUCGCUUUAAUUUCCUAGAUUCAUCGGCCUGGCCAUGAACAUUUUACUGCACUACCGGGCAGUGGAUGCUUUCAGUUAUUUGUUUCAUGGGGAAGUUUCGCUUUAAUUUCCUAGAUUCAUCGGCCUGGCCAUGAACAUUUUACUGCACUACCGGGCAGUGGAUGCUUUCAGUUAUUUGUUUCAUGGGGAAGUUUCGCUUUAAUUUCCUAGAUUCAUCGGCCUGGCCAUGAACAUUUUACUGCACUACCGGGCAGUGGAUGCUUUCAGUUAUUUGUUUCAUGGGGAAGUUUCGCUUUAAUUUCCUAGAUUCAUCGGCCUGGCCAUGAACAUUUUACUGCACUACCGGGCAGUGGAUGCUUUCAGUUAUUUGUUUCAUGGGGAAGUUUCGCUUUAAUUUCCUAGAUUCAUCGGCCUGGCCAUGAACAUUUUACUGCACUACCGGGCAGUGGAUGCUUUCAGUUAUUUGUUUCAUGGGGAAGUUUCGCUUUAAUUUCCUAGAUUCAUCGGCCUGGCCAUGAACAUUUUACUGCACUACCGGGCAGUGGAUGCUUUCAGUUAUUUGUUUCAUGGGGAAGUUUCGCUUUAAUUUCCUAGAUUCAUCGGCCUGGCCAUGAACAUUUUACUGCACUACCGGGCAGUGGAUGCUUUCAGUUAUUUGUUUCAUGGGGAAGUUUCGCUUUAAUUUCCUAGAUUCAUCGGCCUGGCCAUGAACAUUUUACUGCACUACCGGGCAGUGGAUGCUUUCAGUUAUUUGUUUCAUGGGGAAGUUUCGCUUUAAUUUCCUAGAUUCAUCGGCCUGGCCAUGAACAUUUUACUGCACUACCGGGCAGUGGAUGCUUUCAGUUAUUUGUUUCAUGGGGAAGUUUCGCUUUAAUUUCCUAGAUUCAUCGGCCUGGCCAUGAACAUUUUACUGCACUACCGGGCAGUGGAUGCUUUCAGUUAUUUGUUUCAUGGGGAAGUUUCGCUUUAAUUUCCUAGAUUCAUCGGCCUGGCCAUGAACAUUUUACUGCACUACCGGGCAGUGGAUGCUUUCAGUUAUUUGUUUCAUGGGGAAGUUUCGCUUUAAUUUCCUAGAUUCAUCGGCCUGGCCAUGAACAUUUUACUGCACUACCGGGCAGUGGAUGCUUUCAGUUAUUUGUUUCAUGGGGAAGUUUCGCUUUAAUUUCCUAGAUUCAUCGGCCUGGCCAUGAACAUUUUACUGCACUACCGGGCAGUGGAUGCUUUCAGUUAUUUGUUUCAUGGGGAAGUUUCGCUUUAAUUUCCUAGAUUCAUCGGCCUGGCCAUGAACAUUUUACUGCACUACCGGGCAGUGGAUGCUUUCAGUUAUUUGUUUCAUGGGGAAGUUUCGCUUUAAUUUCCUAGAUUCAUCGGCCUGGCCAUGAACAUUUUACUGCACUACCGGGCAGUGGAUGCUUUCAGUUAUUUGUUUCAUGGGGAAGUUUCGCUUUAAUUUCCUAGAUUCAUCGGCCUGGCCAUGAACAUUUUACUGCACUACCGGGCAGUGGAUGCUUUCAGUUAUUUGUUUCAUGGGGAAGUUUCGCUUUAAUUUCCUAGAUUCAUCGGCCUGGCCAUGAACAUUUUACUGCACUACCGGGCAGUGGAUGCUUUCAGUUAUUUGUUUCAUGGGGAAGUUUCGCUUUAAUUUCCUAGAUUCAUCGGCCUGGCCAUGAACAUUUUACUGCACUACCGGGCAGUGGAUGCUUUCAGUUAUUUGUUUCAUGGGGAAGUUUCGCUUUAAUUUCCUAGAUUCAUCGGCCUGGCCAUGAACAUUUUACUGCACUACCGGGCAGUGGAUGCUUUCAGUUAUUUGUUUCAUGGGGAAGUUUCGCUUUAAUUUCCUAGAUUCAUCGGCCUGGCCAUGAACAUUUUACUGCACUACCGGGCAGUGGAUGCUUUCAGUUAUUUGUUUCAUGGGGAAGUUUCGCUUUAAUUUCCUAGAUUCAUCGGCCUGGCCAUGAACAUUUUACUGCACUACCGGGCAGUGGAUGCUUUCAGUUAUUUGUUUCAUGGGGAAGUUUCGCUUUAAUUUCCUAGAUUCAUCGGCCUGGCCAUGAACAUUUUACUGCACUACCGGGCAGUGGAUGCUUUCAGUUAUUUGUUUCAUGGGGAAGUUUCGCUUUAAUUUCCUAGAUUCAUCGGCCUGGCCAUGAACAUUUUACUGCACUACCGGGCAGUGGAUGCUUUCAGUUAUUUGUUUCAUGGGGAAGUUUCGCUUUAAUUUCCUAGAUUCAUCGGCCUGGCCAUGAACAUUUUACUGCACUACCGGGCAGUGGAUGCUUUCAGUUAUUUGUUUCAUGGGGAAGUUUCGCUUUAAUUUCCUAGAUUCAUCGGCCUGGCCAUGAACAUUUUACUGCACUACCGGGCAGUGGAUGCUUUCAGUUAUUUGUUUCAUGGGGAAGUUUCGCUUUAAUUUCCUAGAUUCAUCGGCCUGGCCAUGAACAUUUUACUGCACUACCGGGCAGUGGAUGCUUUCAGUUAUUUGUUUCAUGGGGAAGUUUCGCUUUAAUUUCCUAGAUUCAUCGGCCUGGCCAUGAACAUUUUACUGCACUACCGGGCAGUGGAUGCUUUCAGUUAUUUGUUUCAUGGGGAAGUUUCGCUUUAAUUUCCUAGAUUCAUCGGCCUGGCCAUGAACAUUUUACUGCACUACCGGGCAGUGGAUGCUUUCAGUUAUUUGUUUCAUGGGGAAGUUUCGCUUUAAUUUCCUAGAUUCAUCGGCCUGGCCAUGAACAUUUUACUGCACUACCGGGCAGUGGAUGCUUUCAGUUAUUUGUUUCAUGGGGAAGUUUCGCUUUAAUUUCCUAGAUUCAUCGGCCUGGCCAUGAACAUUUUACUGCACUACCGGGCAGUGGAUGCUUUCAGUUAUUUGUUUCAUGGGGAAGUUUCGCUUUAAUUUCCUAGAUUCAUCGGCCUGGCCAUGAACAUUUUACUGCACUACCGGGCAGUGGAUGCUUUCAGUUAUUUGUUUCAUGGGGAAGUUUCGCUUUAAUUUCCUAGAUUCAUCGGCCUGGCCAUGAACAUUUUACUGCACUACCGGGCAGUGGAUGCUUUCAGUUAUUUGUUUCAUGGGGAAGUUUCGCUUUAAUUUCCUAGAUUCAUCGGCCUGGCCAUGAACAUUUUACUGCACUACCGGGCAGUGGAUGCUUUCAGUUAUUUGUUUCAUGGGGAAGUUUCGCUUUAAUUUCCUAGAUUCAUCGGCCUGGCCAUGAACAUUUUACUGCACUACCGGGCAGUGGAUGCUUUCAGUUAUUUGUUUCAUGGGGAAGUUUCGCUUUAAUUUCCUAGAUUCAUCGGCCUGGCCAUGAACAUUUUACUGCACUACCGGGCAGUGGAUGCUUUCAGUUAUUUGUUUCAUGGGGAAGUUUCGCUUUAAUUUCCUAGAUUCAUCGGCCUGGCCAUGAACAUUUUACUGCACUACCGGGCAGUGGAUGCUUUCAGUUAUUUGUUUCAUGGGGAAGUUUCGCUUUAAUUUCCUAGAUUCAUCGGCCUGGCCAUGAACAUUUUACUGCACUACCGGACAGUGGAUGCUUUCAGUUAUUUGUUUCAUGGGGAAGUUUCGCUUUAAUUUCCUAGAUUCAUCGGCCUGGCCAUGAACAUUUUACUGCACUACCGGGCAGUGGAUGCUUUCAGUUAUUUGUUUCAUGGGGAAGUUUCGCUUUAAUUUCCUAGAUUCAUCGGCCUGGCCAUGAACAUUUUACUGCACUACCGGGCAGUGGAUGCUUUCAGUUAUUUGUUUCAUGGGGAAGUUUCGCUUUAAUUUCCUAGAUUCAUCGGCCUGGCCAUGAACAUUUUACUGCACUACCGGGCAGUGGAUGCUUUCAGUUAUUUGUUUCAUGGGGAAGUUUCGCUUUAAUUUCCUAGAUUCAUCGGCCUGGCCAUGAACAUUUUACUGCACUACCGGGCAGUGGAUGCUUUCAGUUAUUUGUUUCAUGGGGAAGUUUCGCUUUAAUUUCCUAGAUUCAUCGGCCUGGCCAUGAACAUUUUACUGCACUACCGGGCAGUGGAUGCUUUCAGUUAUUUGUUUCAUGGGGAAGUUUCGCUUUAAUUUCCUAGAUUCAUCGGCCUGGCCAUGAACAUUUUACUGCACUACCGGGCAGUGGAUGCUUUCAGUUAUUUGUUUCAUGGGGAAGUUUCGCUUUAAUUUCCUAGAUUCAUCGGCCUGGCCAUGAACAUUUUACUGCACUACCGGGCAGUGGAUGCUUUCAGUUAUUUGUUUCAUGGGGAAGUUUCGCUUUAAUUUCCUAGAUUCAUCGGCCUGGCCAUGAACAUUUUACUGCACUACCGGGCAGUGGAUGCUUUCAGUUAUUUGUUUCAUGGGGAAGUUUCGCUUUAAUUUCCUAGAUUCAUCGGCCUGGCCAUGAACAUUUUACUGCACUACCGGGCAGUGGAUGCUUUCAGUUAUUUGUUUCAUGGGGAAGUUUCGCUUUAAUUUCCUAGAUUCAUCGGCCUGGCCAUGAACAUUUUACUGCACUACCGGGCAGUGGAUGCUUUCAGUUAUUUGUUUCAUGGGGAAGUUUCGCUUUAAUUUCCUAGAUUCAUCGGCCUGGCCAUGAACAUUUUACUGCACUACCGGGCAGUGGAUGCUUUCAGUUAUUUGUUUCAUGGGGAAGUUUCGCUUUAAUUUCCUAGAUUCAUCGGCCUGGCCAUGAACAUUUUACUGCACUACCGUGGAUGCUUUCAGUUAUUUGUUUCAUGGGGAAGUUUCGUCCUAGUAGACCUAUCAUUUGUCCAACAAUGUGUUGACUAAGAGUAGUUGUGUUUUGCCCCUGGUUAUGAUUGCCUGCCUGCCGUCCCUUUCCCAUGUAAUCCAUGUGCUGAAUGGGCUCCUGCAGUUUGCCUACACAAACUUCUUUUUUGGUUCUUUUGUCAGAAUCUCCUUACUUCAGCGACUUAAGUAUUUACAUGAUUUACUUUAUAGCUACUGAGAUAAAUUUGUAGGAUAUCACCCCAUGUGCACUUUGUAGCUUGUGACUUCUUUCACAAGUUAGUUUUGGUAUUGCUCUUCUGCAGGUUUAUCGCCAUUUUGUCAGAUUGUGACAAUUGUUUCCUUUAUGCAGAUCUGGCCACGGUUCUGGAAUUUUCCCCAGUGACAGACAGGGCCCUCUGUGGUUGCUUUGAAUGGGAUUAUAACUAUCACUGACUAUGUGAGCAUUAUUUUUAUGGGAAGAUAAAAGCUCCAUAAGCAGCCCUCUGGUCGUCUGAUUAAAUCCCUUGAAAUGGAGAGGGUUAGGACCAUUCUGGCUCAUGGAUACCCAUACCCACAUGAGCACUCGAGACGUUUCAUGAUUAGGAAGACUAUCAAGCCAAACUAUUCAAGCUUUAGUCGUUGGUACGUCGCUUGGGUAUAUAUUCUUGGCAGUAUUAUACCAUCUCCCUAGUUUUCGGUCAACGGGGUUGGAUAUGAGGAUAAAUCUUUCCCUCUAUAUUUCCUCCCUGGUUUUCUUGACCGUCUUCCACGUCGUCUUCCCUGGACUCUAAUAUUUGGGUCUUGUUUCUCGCAUGGUAGAGAAAAAGCAAGAGAUGCUUAUUAUAAUCCAAAAUUGCACAGUGAUAAGUAUAGCUUGCUGCGUGUUCUACGGCCACUAUGGUAACAGGACUCUUCCAAACUUUAGUCGUUGGUACGUUGCUUGGAUAUUCUUGGCAGCAUUAUACCAUCUCCCUAGUUUUCUGUCAAUGGGGUUAGAUUUGAGGAUCAAUCGUCCCCUCUUCCUCGCUAUUUUUAUUUCCUCUCUAGUUUUCUUUAUCAUCUUCCAUGUCGUAUUUCUUGGACUCUGGUACGUGGGUCUUGUUUCUCGCGUGGCAGAGAGAAAGCCAGAGAUGCUUACUUACUAUAAUCCAAAAUUGUGCAGUAAUAAGUAUAGCUUGCUACAUGUUCUACAACCACUGUGGUAACAACACUCUGUCAUCUAUUGAUCGUGAACUACUAUCUGGGUUGCAUUUUCACUGUCGAGAAAGCAAAAUGAGGACAAUACACUGGUUUCAAAGCUAUUGCGUAUGCAUAAGUGUAAAGACCAGAUUUGCUCGUCCGGUUGGCUGUGCCAGUCACCCACUUCUCUCGAAAUGGGCCAUUUAUGAACAAUUAACUUACAAUGGAUGCGAACACUCCAACUUCAUUUCACCUGUCUACUCUUUGUGGGCUACGUUCAUUGUUCUUUACAUGGCCAAUUAUGUCGUGGAGCGGUCAAGUGGAGUAUGAGAAUCUGAAGAAACAGUUGAAACCGGAUUUGAGGACAUAGUUCGUUGGUAUUCUGGGUAUGUUCUUGAUCUGCACAUAUCCAAAUCAAUGCUCAUUCACAUAUGAGCAGUGUUUUUUCUGCCCUUUUGAGUAUGCGCUCUCCAGCCUCCUGCUUGGUAUACGCGUGAACACAUAGCAUUUGAAAAACAUGAACUUCCUCUUGGAGCUUCUGAGCACAGGCAGUAUAGCCGACCACGUUGUUUUCUGAUUCCUGGAAACCACGUAUUGUGAAUAGAGGUAUAUAAAUAAGGAUGGCAAAUGAUGGGCCACAACUUGGGGUUACCUCAGCCUAGCUAUGUAUGUGCCUCCAGUCGCUCUCGACGAGCAUGAGCUGGGUAAGGAUGCACUUCGUGCUCAGCUGCAAAUGCGCUCAAGGACUUAUGUAGAAUACAUCGAGUUUUAGCACCACAAAGAUAUCCUUCAAGUGAGCCGAGUCACGGAUAUGCUUGUCGAUUUUGUCUUUGAUCAAAUAGCGACCCUGUAAUACCUGUCAUGCCCAUUCAAACAAGCUUUCUCCUCCACCAUUGCCCUUGGCAACCACGCCGAUUGUCAGCUCUAUCAGAACGACACCAAAACUAUAGAUGUCAGUCUCCUCGACCUUUCAUUGUAUUGAUAGUAUUCUGUAAAAUUUGCAUUCAAUUAGUGUUUAAUGAAAAUGUUUAAGAUGCCUUGUUGGAUUUGAGAUUCUCACCAGGGUCAUAUGCCCAUGUGUCCCACAAAUAGUUGACAUGUGGUGGGAUAGGCCUGGUUGACAACCAUUCGAGCAAGCGUAAAUUCGUCGAACUUGUCAUGGAGCUCUGGGUCAAGCAAAAUAUUCCCUAACUUGAUGUCCCGGUGCAUAAUAGCCUGUAUGCACUCUUGGCUGAUGUAGUUAAGGGUCCUGACAUCAUCAAUAGUGAUGGUAAGCCUUGUCGCCUAGUCCAAUGGUACAAGGGUGCCCACGCGGUCAUGGCGGUGCGGCCACUCGUCGAGGCUGCCCUUCUCCAUGUGCUCGUAAACAAGUAGCUUGGCAUCUUGGCUGGAGAUUAUGCACAACAGCUUGAUGAUGUUCUUGUGGUUAAUGCCCCCCAAUGUCUCCACCUCCGAGUUGAAUUGCUUGUGGUCCAGAUUUACCGUGUUGCAUAUCUUCUUGACAGCCACUAUUCUGGUGCUGUGAUCCUCAAUGGCAUUACCAAGGCUAGGAGGUGGACACGUUGCACCUUCCUAGGCCCGCCAUUGCCCAUAAUGUUCUCCUCAGGUAUGUUGUUGAGCAAGUCGGAUUUGACGAAGUCUGGAGGUGUGAAUGGUGUCAUUUUCCAAUCAGCCACGACUUCUUUCACCACUUGUGUGUCCUUUCGAUACCGAAAGAGCAGGUGUAUGAUGAUGCUCAUGCAAGCGAUAAUGACAGUGACACUAAGCACUGACAAGGUUAUCAUACACUUUUGGAGGUGGGUGCCUCUGUGGCAUAUUAGCAUACUUAUCCUCGAGGCCCACUUGGCACAAAGCCCACGGUUUUGAAGGAAGUUGUGGUUGUGAUUUGUACUUUUCAAAGAAAGGGGCACCUCCCCAUUGAGUUGGUUAAAUGACAAAUUGAGGGAUGCAAUUGAAUGAUACCCGAGGUUAGAUGGAAUUUUGCAUGUUAGCUCGUUGUUGGACAAAUCAAGGACUACGAUGAUGAAAGAAUCUCAAUGCUCCAUGGCGGUACUACACCUGAUAUACGAUUGUUGCUGAGGUCAAGUUAUUUGAGAUCCUGCAACAAUAUAACUAAUGUUGGUAUGGAUCCGGGUAUCUUGUUCCCACUUAGUGACAAUUCAGAAAGCUUGUGGAGAUUGCUUACGUUGACCGGUAGCUCUCCUGAGAGUUGUUUAUCCUGCACCAUCAACACAAGUAGCCCAGUCCCAAAUGUCGGGAUCGAGCCAGAGAAGUGGUUUUUCUGCAUCUCAAUUCGAGAGAUAUCUGAAGAUCUCUAUUUUGGUGUAGUGCCAAUGAAGUUGUUGUCCGAUAUUAGCACUAUAUGCGCCAACAACAUCAACCAUAUAUUCAUCGAAAACUUCCUCAAGAAGUUUUUGUUGUCGAGCAUAAUGUUUUCCAGCGAGAGAUAGUUGCCAAUGAUCAUUGGGAGCUCGUUGGAGAAGAUAUUGUUAGGAAGUACAUUGUUGAAUAGUUUCCCAUGAGCGCGUAACUACUUCGGUAAUGAGCAAGACAAGAUGUUGAUGUAGACCUUAAAAUUUCCAAGCAGCAAGUGCUUCCCAAGUUCUUGUGGUACCUCACCCUAGAGCAUAUUGUCGAACAACUGGAUGUAUUGGAGGUUGGGAAUGAGGCCCAUGCUUAUGCGGAUGGGGCAUGUGGAAUCAAUGUUGUAUAAGAUGAUAAAGAUUAGUUUCUUGAGAGUCCCAAAGCCUUAUAGUAUGCAUCUAGUGAGUUUGUUUUUCCACAAGUCUAUCUUAAUCAAAUUCACCGCAGUGAUGUUGCAUGGCAGCUCACUGGUGAGUCUGUUAUCAUACAAGUACAAGAUCUCGAGCUUUUGGUGCUCCUAGAUCUAGAGGGGAUUGAACCACUGAGCUUUUUUUCCCCAUAGGUCCAACAUGGUUAGUUCCUUUAGACUUGAGAAUGCCUAUGGAAUCUCAACGGUGAAUCCAUUACUCUCAAGAAGCAGGUUCUGGAGUGUCAAAAGCUCAACCAUCGGCAUCAACAAAACUGCACUAAAGUUGUUGUUAGUUAGGUUGAGGUGCUUCAUAGAUGGUGAUAGUUGGUUGAUGUCUUGAGGAAGGACUCCAUGAAAGCUGUUGUAGGAGAGAUCAAGGUACCGAAGACAAGAGCAUGCAUAGAGAGUGAUGCCAGGGAAUUUCCUAGCGAGCUUGUUGUACGAAAAGUCGAGGUGGAUCAGGUACUUGAGAUUGCACACCUAAGGAGUGAUGUUGCCAGUAAGAUUCAAAUGCUUGAAGGAAAUCCCUGUAACUAGGCUUCCACCACUUGCCACCCAAUUGGCAAAACCCCAACUACAAUGAUGUGUAGAGCAGAACAACCGAUCAUUGAAGCUGGGCUGGUGUCAGUUGCGUAGGAGGCGAUGGAGGCCUAGUUACGGAGCUUUCCUUCAAGCAUUUGAAUUUUAUCGGCAACACCCCUCCAUCUCUGUGCAACCUUAAGUACCUAAUCCAACUCGACUUUUCAUACAAAAAACUCACAGGGAGAGUCCUUGGCAUCAAGCUCUACGCCUACUCCUGGCUUCGAUACCUUGUUCCCUAAUACAAUGGAUUCCAUGGAGUGUUUACUCAAGAGAUGAGUUGACUAUCACCAUGUGUGAAGGAUCUCAAUCUGACUAACAACAACUUUAGUGAUAUUCUGUUGAUGGCGAUGGACAAGCUUGAGACACUCCAAAACCGGCUUCUUGAACGAUUGGCUUCACUGGCGAGAUUUGAAAGUCAUUCUCAAGCCCAAAGAAACUAACUAUUUUGAACAUGUGGGGCAACAAUCUCAGUGUUUCAAUCCUCGUAUGGAUGUGGGAGCACUAAAAUCUCGAGAUCUUGUACAUGUAUGACAGUGGACUCAUAGGGAGCUGUCGUGCAACAUCACUAUGGCGAAUCUGAUUAACAUAGACUUGUGAGCUGACAAACACAUUGGUUGCAUACGAGAAGACUUUGGGACUCUCAAGAGACUAACCAUUAUCAUCGUAUACAACAUUGAUUUCAUAGGCCCCAUCCCCAGCAUCAUUGUCCUCAUUCCCCACCUCCAAUGCAUCCACUUGUUCGACAAUAUGCUCUAGGGUGAGGUACCAUAUAUAGGAACUUGGGAAGCACUCACUGCUUGGAAAUUUUCAGGUCUACAACAAUAACUUGUCUGGCUCACUACCGUAGUAGUUAUGCGCUCAUGAGAAACUAUUCAACAUAGUAGAGUCUAACAACUGCUUCUCCUAUGAGCUCCCGACGAUCAUUGACAACUGCCUCUCAAUGGAUAAUAUUAUGCUUGACAACUACUACUUCUCGGGGAAGUUUCCGAUGAAUAUAUGGUGGUUGUCGUGCAUACAAUGCUAAUAUCGAACAACAAUUUCACUAGCACUAUGCCGAAAGAGAGAUCUACGAACAUCUCUCGAAUUGAGAUGAAGAACAACCACGUCUUCGGGUUGAUCCCGACGCUUCGGACUGAGCUACUAGUGUUGAUGGUGUAGAAUAACCAACUUUCGGAAGAGCUACUUGUCAACAUAAGCAAUCUCCACGGGCUUUCUGAAUUGUCACUAAGUGGGGACAAACAAACCUAGAUCCAUACCAACAUCAAUUACAUUGUUGCGGAAUCUCAAAUCACUUGAUAACAACAACAAUCGUGUAUCACGUGCAAUAUACCGCCAUGGAGCAUUGAGACGAUUUCCUCGCUCUUAGUCCUUGAUUUGUCCAACAAUGAGCUAACAUGCAAAAUUCCACCUCACUUCAGCAACCAUUCAAUUUUGUCCCUUAAUUUGUCCUUUGACCACUCAAUGGGGAGGCGCCCCUCUCUUUGCAAAGUGCAAAUUACAGCCACGACUUCCUUGAAAACCAUCAGCUUUGAGCCAAGUGGGCCUCGAGGACAAAUAUCCCAAUAUGCCAUGAAGGCACCCACCUUCAGAAGCGUAUUAUAUUAUUGUUAGUGCUCGGUGUUACUGUCAUUAUCGCUUGAAUGAGCAUCAUCAUACGACUGUUCUUUCAGCGUUGGAAGAACAGACAAGUGUUGAAAGAAGUCGCGAGUGAUUGAAAAAUGACACCAUUCACACCUCUGGACUUCUUGAAACUCGAUGUGCUCAACAACAUAUCUAAGGAGAACAUUAUCGGCACGACGGGUCUUGGAAGGUGUAUUAUGUCCACCUCCCGGGCCUUCAUGGUCUUACGGAGGAUCGCAGAAGCAGAAUAGUGACUGUUAAGAAGGUAUGCAACAUGAGAAAUCUAGACCACGGGAAGCCCGACUCGGAGGUGAAGACAUCGGGGAACAUCAAUCACAAGAACAUAAUCAAGAUAGUGUGCAUAAUCUCCAGCCAAGAUGCCAAAUUGCUUGUUUACAAACGCAUGGCGAAAGGCAACCUCUACGACUGGUUGCAGCACCGUGACAACAAGGGGCACCCCUGCAAUAUUGCACUGGUCGACAAGGUUGACCAUCACUAUUGAUGGAGACAAGGGCCUCAACUACAUUCACCAAGAGUGCGGACAUGAUAUUAUCCACCGGGACAUCAAGUGAGACAACGUUUUGCUUGACCCAGAGUUCCAUGCCAAGUUCGCCGACUCUGGGCUUGCUCAAAUGGUUGUUAAACCAAGCCAAUCACACCAUAUGUCACCCAUUUGUGAGACACACGAAUGCAUUACCCCCGACGAGAAUCUCAAAUCCAGCAGGACAUCUCAAACGUUUCCACUAAACGCUAAAUGAAUGUAAAUUUCACAUAAUAUUGUCAGUACAAUGAAAGGGCGAGCUGGGAGACUAACAUCUACUGUUUUGGUAUCAUUCUGCUAGAGGUGACAACUCGCGUUGUUGCCAAAGGCGUUAGACGAGGAGAAAGCUCAGCUGAAUGGGCAUAACAGGCAUUACAUGGCCGCUUUUUAACCAAAGAUAAAAUCGACGAUCAUAUCGGUGACUCGGUCCAUUCGGAGGAUAUCUUUGUGGCAUCGAUACUCGGUGUAUCAUGCAUGAGUCCUCAAGCACAUAUGCAGUCAAGCAUGAAACACGUCGUUACCUAGCACAUGCUCAUCCAAUGCGACGGAAAGCACAUAUAUAUGUGCAGAGGAUGGGGCUGAGCCCAUGUUGCGGAGGAUCGUGUCCGAGAAGGGCACCUCCAGCAGUCGGUAUGGCUGCCGACGAGACUCUGUGGCACAUACAUUGAUCUGGAGUAAUUAAGGUGGAUCAUUUGUCUCCUCCGGCUGUCUAACCAGAUGCAUGGUACGGCUUACGUUCUGCGCCUGCUACAGUUGUGUUUGGCAUUCACGUGACCAUGUCUUAGAUGAGUUUGGGCUUGUAGAAUGAGCAUCAAUAAUCGCGUUUGCUUUUCCUUUUCUGGUCACAGUGUAAUGGAGUGGGGUUCAGUUCUUCAGUCCAAGAUUUUUGUAACUAGCGUAGCUAGUGGCUUCAUGCCAUCACCAAAUGAUUACCUAACGAUAUAAAAUUAAGCACUGUGCAACAAUAUUAUUGUACUUUGAAAGAAUCCGAUCUACUUAUUGUC